rnacentral:rRNA from 1 species
AUACGGAAGGUCCGGGCGUUAUCCGGAUUUAUUGGGUUUAAAGGGAGCGCAGGCGGAGAUGCAAGCGUGACGUCAAAUUUCGGGGCUCAACCCCGUCUCGCGUCGCGAACUGCGUCCCUUGGUUGCGGGAAGGGGAGGCGGAACUCGUGGUGUAGCGGUGAAAUGCAUAGAUAUCACGAAGAACGCCGAUAGCGGAGGCAGCUCGCCAGGCCUGCAUUGACGCUCGGGCACGAAAGCGUGGGGAUCGAACAGGAUUAGAUACCCUGGUAGUCCACGCCGUAAACGAUGGGCGCUCGUCGUCGGCGGCAGACAGUCGGCGGCCAAGCGAAAGCGAUAAGCGCCCCACCUGGGGAGUACGGUCGCAAGGCUGAACUCAAAUGAAUUGGCGGGG